rnacentral:rRNA from 1 species
GACGAACGCUGGCGGCAUGCCUAAUACAUGCAAGUCGAGCGAACAGAUGAAGUGCUUGCACUUCUGACGUUAGCGGCGAACGGGUGAGUAACACGUAAGGAAUCUACCUAUAAGCGGGGGAUAACAUUCGGAAACGGGUGCUAAUACCGCGUAAUAUCUUCUUCCGCAUGGAAGAAGAUUGAAAGACGGCUCUGCUGUCACUUAUAGAUGACCUUGCGGUGCAUUAGUUAGUUGGUGGGGUAAUGGCCUACCAAGACGAUGAUGCAUAGCCGACCGGAGAGGGUGAUCGGCCACAUUGGGACUGAGACACGGCCCAAACUCCUACGGGAGGCAGCAGUAGGGAAUCUUCCGCAAUGGGCGAAAGCCUGACGGAGCAAUGCCGCGUGAGUGAAGAAGGCCUUCGGGUCGUAAAACUCUGUUAUAAGAGAAGAACAAAUUGUAGAGUAACUGCUACAGUCUUGACGGUAUCUUAUCAGAAAGCCACGGCUAACUACGUGCCAGCCGCCGCAGUAA